GUAGGUGGCAAGCGUUGUCCGGGAAUUAUUGGGGCGUAAAGCGCGCGCAGGCGGUUCUUUAAGUCUGAUGUGAAAGCCCACGGGCUCAACCGUGGAGGGUCAUUGGAAACUGGAGAACUUGAGUACAGAAGAGGAAAGCGGAACUCCACGUGUAGCGGUGAAAUGCGUAGAGAUGUGGAGGAACACCAGUGGCGAAGGCGGCUUUCUGGUCUGUAACUGACGCUGAGGCGCGAAAGCGUGGGGAGCAAACAGGAUUAGAUACCCUGGUAGUCCACGCCGUAAACGAUGAGUGCUAAGUGUUAGGGGGUUUCCGCCCCUUAGUGCUGCAGCUAACGCAUUAAGCACUCCGCCUGGGGAGUACGGCCGCAAAGGCUG
rnacentral:rRNA from 1 species